UCAGCGGCCUCAGCGGCGGUGGUGCGCCAUUUUUAUUUUGAGCUCUUCCAAGAGUGAAAGUUCUUUUUCGUUCUAAAUUUAAAUUUUGUUUUAAGUAUUUAAUAUUGUGAUAAACAUAUAUAAACUGCUAAUGUUUUAAAAAUAAUUGUGACAGUGAAAAAAGUGUAUUUAAAAACGGCGGUUUCGGUCACUUCUUGAGGUUUUGUCAUCCGUUAAAUCCAAAAAGCGAUCCGCUGUUUGCUGCCUCUGUAUGCGUCCCAACAGGAAGUUUAAUGAUGUUGGUCAAACUGUCAGCAAUGACCAAGAGAAAGUCCCGUCGUACUUUGACUCCAAGAGUCGGCCGAUUCUCGGGAAGCUAAAACAUGAAAAGCGGAGUUUCAGUCACCGCCGGUUGCGGAAUAAAACGUUUUCUGCGAUAUUGGAGUAAAACAAGAUUGAAGAUGUCGAGAAAAAGUACUCCAAACAUUGGACACAAGGUUGUCCAAUUCGAUUUGCCGAUAAUAAACAACUAUAUAUAUAAUCUACUUCUCCUAUUUUGUGGGAAAAUUGAAUUUAAUCCCCAAGCUCACUAGCGGAACGACGACGGAAGUGGCACAGGAUUUGACAGAAAGUAUUUGAUGUCGUCCAAGAGCACCAAAUUCCGUGCCGCUCGAUUACGUUCAUUCCAUGGUGCGGUGGUGACUCGUCUGAAACAAGGCCGGAAGUUUUGAGUGAGGGAUCGCUCACCAUUUGCUCACCAUCGCUCACCGGAUCGGAAAUUCUCGUUCAGGAUGACACGAUUCCCUUGUCUAAUA